GACGAACGCUGGCGGCGUGCCUAACACAUGCAAGUCGAACGGAAAGGCCCUGCUUUUGUGGGGUGCUCGAGUGGCGAAAGCGUGAGUAACACGUGAGCAACCUGCCCUUGACUUUGGGAUAACUUCAGGAAACUGGGGUUAAUACCGGAUAGGAGCUCCUCCUGCAUGGUGGGGGUGGGAACGUUUCGGCGGUUGGGGAUGGACUCGCGGCUUAUCAGUUUGUUGGUCGGGUAGUGGCUUACCAAGGGAUUGACGGGUAGCCGGCCUGAGAGGGUGACCGGGCACCUUGGGACUGCGAUACGGGCCAGACUAGUACGGGAGACAGCAGUGGGGAAUAUUGCACAAUGGGCGGAAGCCUGAUGAAGCAACGCCGCGUGCGGGAUGACGGCCUUCGGGUUGAAAACCGCUUUCGCCUGUGACGAAGCGUGAGUGACGGUAAUGGGUGAAGAAGCACCGGCUAACUACGUG
rnacentral:rRNA from 1 species